CCUCUCGCAAGGGCAGGCAUUGGAGCCGCGGUUGGGAGAGGUGCUGCGCUGCGCCUCUCCCAACCGUGGCUCCUAUGCCUGCUUUUGCGAGCGG